UACGUAGGGUCCGAGCGUUGUCCGGAAUUACUGGGCGUAAAGAGCUCGUAGGUGGUUUGUCGCGUUGUUCGUGAAAACUCACAGCUUAACUGUGGGCGUGCGGGCGAUACGGGCAGACUUGAGUACUGCAGGGGGAGACUGGAAUUCCUGGUGUAGCGGUGGAAUGCGCAGAUAUCAGGAGGAACACCGGUGGCGAAGGCGGGAUCUCUGGGCAGUAACUGACGCUGAGGAGCGAAAGCGUGGGGAGCAAACAGG
rnacentral:rRNA from 1 species